AUGGCCCAGCCGCUACCAUUCCUCGCGCCACUCGUCACCUUACUCUUCCUGGCGGCGGCAACCACGACGGCAACAGCGGCCGCAGACGGUGUCCCCGCCGCCGCCGGCAAUGGCGGCAUGACGCACCUCCACUUCUACUUCCACGAGAUAUACACCGCCGGGCCGAACGGCACGACGGCGGCGGUGGCGUCCCCGCCGGCGGGCGCCAGCGGCUCGGCCUUCGGGUUCGGCUACGUGGGCGUGGUCGACGACAUGCUCCGCGAGGGCGCCGACCCGGCGUCCCGCCUCAUCGGCCGCGCGCAGGGGCUCACCGCGGGCGCCUCGCUCUCGGAGGUGGCAAUCACCACGUUGCUCAACUUCGUGUUCACGGACGGGCCGUACAACGGCAGCACGCUGGCGAUGUUCGGCCGCGCGGUGCUGGGCUCGGUGAUGGAGCGGCCGAUCGUGGGGGGCACCGGCGCGUUCCGGAUGGCGCGCGGGUACACGCACAGCCGGAUGGUCGAGUCCGCGGACCCCGGGAACCUGCUCGUCCUCGAGUACGACGCCUACGUCUUCCACUAG
rnacentral:rRNA from 1 species